GACAGAGGGUGCAAACGUUGUUCGGAAUUACUGGGCGUAAAGCGUGUGUAGGCGGCUAUGUAAGUCGGAUGUGAAAGCCCUGGGCUCAACCCAGGAAGUGCAUUCGAUACUGCGUAGCUUGAGUACCGGAGAGGUUGGUGGAAUUCUCGGUGUAGAGGUGAAAUUCGUAGAUAUCGAGAGGAACACCGGUGGCGAAGGCGGCCAACUGGACGAGUACUGACGCUGAGACACGAAAGCGUGGGGAGCAAACAGG
rnacentral:rRNA from 1 species